AAACCAUGGUGUGGACAGCACCUCAGCAAGUCCUUGUACCUCUACCACACAUCAUACAUACUUUCAUCAUCAAACUGCAUAAAAGAAGAAAUAUCAUUACGCAUAUU
rnacentral:snoRNA from 1 species